AUACGGAGGAUGCAAGCGUUAUCCGGAUUUAUUGGGUUUAAAGGGUGCGUAGGUGGUUUGAUAAGUCAGCGGUGAAAGUUUGCAGCUUAACUGUAAAAAUGCCGUUGAAACUGUCGGACUUGAGUGUAAAUGAGGUAGGCGGAAUGCGUGGUGUAGCGGUGAAAUGCAUAGAUAUCACGCAGAACUCCGAUUGCGAAGGCAGCUUACUAAGCUACAACUGACACUGAAGCACGAAAGCGUGGGGAUCAAACAGGAUUAGAUACCCUGGUAGUCCACGCAGUAAACGAUGAUUACUAGCUGUUUGCGAUACACAGUAAGCGGCACAGCGAAAGCGUUAAGUAAUCCACCUGGGGAGUACGCCGGCAACGGUGAAACUCAAAUGAAUUGACGGGG
rnacentral:rRNA from 1 species